GGAACCCACCGGCCUAGGUGUUAGAACAGCACCGAAGUUGCCAGGGCCAGGGGUCCAGCCAUCCUGACCCCUGCUAGCCACCCUGCAAGGGCCGAUGUUCCCACGCAGGAGGCCCCAGGGAGGUGGUACUGAGCAACCGGCCACACCCAAGGAAACAGCUCAGAGCUCAACUUCCUCCUGAAUUAGGCCACACCCGAGGCCUCCCGGGUCUCACCCACGCCUCUGGGUCCAUCACUAAACAGAAGGCACAAUCCCACUAACUCUUACUCCAUCGCUGCUCAUGAAACUCCUGCCAGUAAGGACUGGGUCAAGCACCUGAAAACCAGAGCUCGUCCGUGGCUUCACUUGUUUUGGACUAAGGAGCUGAGGAGCGUGCGAGACUGUACUUGGAGAAUCUGUUUCUUGCUGCCAUUUCGUCACUGAGCACUAUUUUUUUUCUCCUUCUUUUUUUGUAAGAAAAGGAGAACACAUAAAACCCCACCAGAACAAACUCCACUCGGCCCUGAAAGUAUUUACAAUCACGGCCCUGAAAGUAUUUACAAUCACGUUACAGUUCAUUCACUGCUGCAGAACCUCUCUCCAGCGAUCAAGGUCGAAGGGAGCCGACGUCGCCCUCUAUCGGCUCCCUGCUGCACUAGAAGUUCUGGAUGUCAGAGGUCCAACUUGAGUCUCACUGGGCUGAUGUCAAGAAGCCUGCAGAGCUGCUUUCUUCCUGGAGGCUCUAGGAGAGAUUCCGUUUUCCUGCCUUUGCCAGCUUCCAGCGGCCGCCUGUAUUCCUUGGCUCGCAUGACCCCUCUGUAUCCUUAAAGCAGUAAUGGCCCAUCAAA